ensembl:lncRNA
UACAUGUAAAACCCUAAACAACCUUGGCAGAGCAGUGUUACCUGGACUACAAUAAUCUGGGCAAGGACAUUUGAUAUUUCAUAACACCUUUUAUAUUUCUACGCAUAUAGAUUUAUCCCAACAUGCUUUAUGAUUUAAUGAUAUUUAAAGUUUAUUUUAAAUGUUGCAAAUUAGGGAAUGUCACUUGCCACCAGCCCACUGCAAAUGUAGAAUGACCCAAUUUAUGCUUAUGUCAAGCCAAACUGAAUAUAUAUUUGAGCCCCAAGACUUGUAGGAUUGCACAUACCCACUAGCAAAAAUGUACCAUGGUACUCUCAUGGUUCUUUAAACGUGUACUAUGCUACAGUCAUGGUAUUGUGAAAUAUUGUUGUAAAUGCCAUGGCAUCUAAAACUUCCAUCUAAAACUUUAAGGUAAUAAGUUAAUAAUUAAGCAAUGCAUUUGCAUGCUCACAAUGGUCACAUGACAUGCUGGUAAACAAAUUAUAUAUUUAUUUAGUAAGUGUUUUAUGUUGAUUGCUGUUUUUUUUUUUAUGAUUUAUUUCAAUUUGACAUUUUUAUGAUUUAAUUAUUAACUUUUCAUUAAACUCGUGAAUCCCCUGCAGUUCCAUCACAAUCCCUAGUAACCUCGACGUAAUGCACUUCAUUAUAUUAAUAAAAAUAAAUGUAAUAUUUUUCUAUUUUUUUGCAUUUUGAUAUCAGUAUAUGGUACGAGAUUACAUGGUAUCCUAUUUAAAUCAAUAUGAUAAACUAGUUAGGUCAAAAGCAAUCAAAAAGUAGUCUGAUUACAUUACCUAAAUUGUGGAAUGUAACGGAUUACGUUACUAACUACAUUUUUGUAAUGUAACUUGGAAUCAGUAACGGAUUACAUCUCAAGUAGGCCUAAUCUGACAGCUCUGGAGAUAACAUCACUGUACCCGCAUUAUUCUGUCAAUUAUAACCAAACGGAAUUCAUAUAAUCUAAAUACAAAUGUAUAUAAUCAUGCACUCACUCUCAAACUUAAGUUUCAGUAUGUAAGAAGAGCGUGUGAUCUUUAUAAUAACCCAUUGUGUGAGAACACCACGGAGGAGAGCACGCACACACGAGCGAGAGUCCUGCAGCGUCACGUGAUCGUCAAGAAAGGAAGACUGAAGGGGAGGAAAAAAAUUGGUCUGCUGGCGACCAAUAACACGCUCAAAAGAUCAGAAAUGGGAUGGAGAUGUUCAGCAAGUGCUGGUGUUUUGAUUGACAGUUGGAAGCAGGCCACUCGUGAAGGGUUCACAGAAAAGCAUUGAAAGAAAGAGU